AUUGAAUGCUGGCGGCAGGCCUAACACAUGCAAGUCGAACGAGUGGCGGACGGGUGAGUAAUGUCUGGGAACUGCCUGAUGGAUGGGGAUAACUACUGGAAACGGUAGCUAAUACCGCAUACUAUCGGAUAACCCAUAUGGGAUUAGCUAGUAGGUGAGGUAAUGGCUCACCUAGGCGACGAUCCCUAGCUGGUCUGAGAGGAUGAUCAGCCACACUGGGACUGAGACACGGCCCAGACUCCUACGGAGGCAGCAGUGGGGAAUAUUGGACAAUGGGGGAAACCCUGAUCCAGCCAUCCCGCGUGUAUGAUGAAGGCCUUCGGGUUGUAAAGUACUUUUGGCAGAGAAGCGGUAUCUGCAGAAUAAGCACCGGCUAACUACGUGCCAGCAGCCGCGGUAAUUC
rnacentral:rRNA from 1 species